CUCAUCGUCCAAGUUUUUAAACAUAUUUAUUUUCCUCUCAUACAGUUCCAUCAUUUCCUUCGUAUCUGUUCUUGUCUCUGCAAUAUUUUAUUUCGAUGUCACUCUUGUUUCGUUAAUUAUAGGAAAGUAAAUCAAUCAGUGACAGUGGUUGUUGUUUUAUUUGAAGGGGCAUCUAUCUCUUUUAAAGUGUUUCCGAUUGCAUAGGAGGAGAUGGAGUGAAUCAUGUCUUCUUUUUGGCCAACUAAGAUUACUUACCGAUUUCGAAUUUAUUUUGUCUCUGACAUUGGUACUUUCCAAGUUUUUUACUGCAGUUAAUUAUA
rnacentral:lncRNA from 1 species